rnacentral:misc_RNA from 1 species
AACGCACCUUGCGCUCCUUGGUAUUCCGAGGAGCAUGCCUGUUUGAGUGUCAUUAAUAUAUCAACCUCUUCAGCUUAUGCUUGUUGAGUGUUGGAUGGUGGGGGUUUGCUGGUGUCUUAUGAAGUCAGCUCCCCUGAAAUGCAUUAGCGGAACAAUUUGUUUGACCGUUCAUUGGUGUGAUAAAAUAUCUACGCUAUUGACGUCAGUCAGUUCAGCUUCUAACAGUCCAUUGACUUGAACAAAUUUUCAUUAAUGUGACCUCAAAUCAGGUAGGACUACCCGCUGAACUUAA